rnacentral:tRNA from 1 species
GCAUGUAGCUCAGUUGGCAGAGUACUUGCCUUGCAUGCAUAAGUCCUGAGUUUGAUACUCAGCUGCA